UUGGCCAAAAAGUUCAUUCAGGAUUUUCCAUAAGAUGUUACGGAAAAACCUGAACGAAAUUUUUGACCAA
ensembl:miRNA